GAACGCUGGCGGCGUGCCUAAUACAUGCAAGUCGAGCGAACAGACGAGGAGCUUGCUCCUCUGACGUUAGCGGCGGACGGGUGAGUAACACGUGGAUAACCUACCUAUAAGACUGGGAUAACUUCGGGAAACCGGAGCUAAUACCGGAUAAUAUAUUGAACCGCAUGGUUCAAUAGUGAAAGACGGUUUUGCUGUCACUUAUAGAUGGAUCCGCGCCGCAUUAGCUAGUUGGUAAGGUAACGGCUUACCAAGGCGACGAUGCGUAGCCGACCUGAGAGGGUGAUCGGCCACACUGGAGCUGAGACACGGUCCAGACUCCUACGGGAGGCAGCAGUAGGGAAUCUUCCGCAAUGGGCGAAAGCCUGACGGAGCAACGCCGCGUGAGCGAUGAAGGUCUUCGGAUCGUAAAACUCUGUUAUUAGGGAAGAACAAAUGUGUAAGUAACUAUGCACGUCUUGACGGUACCUAAUCAGAAAGCCACGGCUAACUACGUG
rnacentral:rRNA from 1 species